CUAUAAAAAAGUAAUUUAUUUUUAUUGUUAAAAACUGGCUUAGCUGACAGAAUAACCAGACAGUUACACAUGACUUCGUGUGCCUCAUUUUGACGUACAAGACCAAUUUUUAAAAGUAGAAAUGAAUGAAAUUUCUAACA
rfam:Gossypium hirsutum cultivar TM-1 chromosome 4, whole genome shotgun sequence